rnacentral:rRNA from 1 species
GACGAACGCUGGCGGCGUGCCUAAUACAUGCAAGUCGAACGCAGUGGGGACGGGUGAGUAACACGUGGGUAACCUCCCAUCAGAGGGGAUAACACUUGGAAACAGGUGCUAAACCGAUACUGAUGGAUGGACCCGCGGUGCAUUAGCUAGUUGGUGGGGUAACGGCUCACCAAGGCAAAGAUGCAUAGCCGACCUGAGAGGGUGAUCGGCCACAAUGGGACUGAGACACGGCCCAGACGCCUACGGGAGGCAGCAGUAGGGAAUCUUCGGCAAUGGACGAAAGUCUGACCGAGCAAUGCCGCGUGAGUGAAGAAGGUUUUCGGAUCGUAAAGCUCUGUUGUUAGAGAAGCGGUAUCUAACCAUAAAGCGCCGGCGAACUACGUGCCAGCAGCCGCGGUAAUUC